UAGGUAUGUCUCUUUUAUAAUAUUCUUUUAGUUUUUCUAUCUUCUCUUUUUUUUACUCAUAUCAAAUAUACAUGAUUAGAAUAAUUUUGAUUAGCUAUUAUAAUUUUAACAUUUAAUAAUUUUUAAAAUUUUACCAUAGUGCACUUUUAUAAUAUUUUAUUAUAGAGGAUAUUUAAGGUAUUACAUAUUAUCAUUUUUUAUAUAUUUUAUUAUUUUUAAAAAUAUUUUAUUAUUUAUUUUUUUUCUUUCUUCUUCUCUCCCUGUAGCUCCUUUACUUCU
rnacentral:lncRNA from 1 species